CAUACAUUACAACACUGUGAAGCAGUUACUGACAACACUGUGAAGCAGAUGCUGUUAUCAUUUUCCGCCCUAUUUGUAGGUUUAUUUCCUCCGCGAGGACCCUCUCUUGUCUGUGCCCCGUGUCAUAGAAAGUGAAUACUUGAAGAGCAGGGCAGAGGUUGGUCAGGACUCCUGCAGACGGGGUCGGGGUCGGAGACCUGGGCCCACCGGGUACGCGGCCCCCGAGGUGCACAGUCUCUCCGACUCGCGUGGCUGGGAGGGAAGCAGAACUGGUUAUCUCGGCAGGAGGGCAAGUCAUCCUGUCGUUGUCACAUUCCGUGCCCUUUUUUCCUUCGGCUGACGGAAAUUGCCGUAUUUUGAAGUGUUUGGUUUUCAGCAACAUAAAACAUUUUCAGAACAAUUUUAAAACCGAAUUACUACUUUGCAGUCUGAAAAAUUAUGCAGUUUUACCGUAGUCUGAGAAGAGAUAAGUUUAGAUGUGGAAGCUGUUUAUUAGGCAUCCUCACCUUGAGGGAAAUCUUGUCAGGACGUGGCAGAAGAGGACCUGGUUUUGUGGAAGCCUCAUGGCGUAGUCUUGCCCGGGGUGGGGCGUCCUGUUCUCAGGCCAACUUCAUCAAAGGUUUCUGCUGUAUGUUCUGUGGCCUCCUAAGUAGUAUGCUUUGGAACGUUUGCCAGUACAUAAAUUCCUUGCCAUAAAUGGGUUUGUUGUCUAAAAAUAAUUUUUAAAAAUAUCCUGGAAGCAAAAUUAAAUGUAGAUAUUAUGUAUAG